CAAGCUUCAUCAUGGUCUCCAGAGAGGACAUUCCAACAUGGCAAAGGGUUAUGGCUAUGUCUGGUCACUCAACUGUGGCCUGGUCUCCAAAACUUUGAAGGCAAAACCCUUUAGGCACUUUGUGGAGCUCUGAAAGGAGGAAGAUUGCCAGUGACUUCACAGACAGGCAGCACAAGCUUCACCCAAAGUCACAGCCUCAACAAAACAGCUCUUUGGAUCUCAUAAAUGACACAGAAAAGAGCCAUCAGCAAGUGGCUAGCUACCUGCAAAGGGCUUUGAUUUUGAAAAGCAAAGCAACUCAAGAAAUCUUUAGGUUUGCCAGGUAGAGAUGUGUUAAGCUGCGCUGAUAUUCACUGCAUCAUCCUUCAGAGGAUGAGACUUUUCUUUCCCUUACUCUCAAGCUUGUUUUACCGUGUGUAGCCCUCUUUCUGUUAGAGAAAUUCUAUUCUUCUGCCCCAAUAAUACUAGGCUUAGACAGAUCGUCACCAGGAAAAGUGGAAAUAUUUAUGAGCAGAAACUUUAAGAAAACCAUCUCAAGGGUCUGUGGGCUCUGCCUUCCAGCUGGGUAAAGAUGCCGCCUCUUCUAGAAUUCUACAGCAAGAAGAAAGCAGAGAGAACGCAGACCAUUAUCCAUGACAGAAGCCAAAUGGAGAAGCUGCUACCCCUUUAAAGGGCAAGCAUGAACCUUUGGAGGCAAACUGCAACAAAUACAACAGAUACACACCCAUUUUCUAAACCUCUGUAGCUGUUGGAGAUGAGAUUGGACGCAUCCUGACCCAUGUCUGUCCAUCAGAAGUUUCUG
rnacentral:lncRNA from 1 species